GCCGAACCCUGCCGGCGUGCUAAAAAAAUGAAAGCCGAAGGAUGAACCCGGGGCUUGUCCCGCCGGUUUAUGGGCGAACGGGUGAGUACCACGGAAUAAACCUGCCCUUGACUCUGGGAUACCGGCGGAAAAUGUUAGCCAAUACGGGAUACGCCCCCCGCCGGCACCGCCAGGGGGGGGAAAGAAUUUCGGCCAAGGAUGGACUCGCGGCCUAUCAGCUAGUUGGUGAGGUAACGGCUCACCAAGGCGACGACGGGUAGCCGGCCUGAGAGGGUGACCGGCCACACUGGGACUGAGACACGGCCCAGACUCCUACGGGAGGCAGCAGUGGGGAAUAUUGCACAAUGGGCGCAAGCCUGAUGCAGCAACGCCGCGUGAGGGAUGACGGCCUUCGGGUUGUAAACCUCUUUUAGUAGGGAAGAAGCGUAAGUGACGGUACCUGCAGAAAAAGCACCGGCUAACUACGUGCCAGCCGCCGCAGUAA
rnacentral:rRNA from 1 species